AAGGAAGGAAUUAGGCAUGUGGUUUAGAUCUAAAACCUAAAGGACUUUGUGAUUAUUAGGCAUUUAAAGGAUUAGAGCUAUGGCAUGAUGAAGGUUGGCGGGUGAAAGAAGGAACAAUGGAAGGUGCUGCAGUUUUGAUAGUAACAAGAUAAUUAUGGGUUGAAUAGAAGAGUCUCACUUCUAUCCUAACCCAAGAAUUUUUCCAUCAUCUCAUCAAGAAAGAAGGAGCCUUUAGAGUCUCACCAAAGAAGGAAGAAGAAGCCUUACGCCUCCCAAUCUCAAGAGCAAUUGAAAAUCAAAUAAAUUCUUCUUUAUUCUUCAAUGUCCACACUUUAAAUAAAUGGGGCGUUAGAAUAAAAUAGAAAUCUUAUUACAUGACUCAAACUCAGAUUUA
rnacentral:lncRNA from 1 species